rnacentral:lncRNA from 1 species
AUUCGAUUCUCAAUUUUGAGAUUUAGAGAAGAUAUAUGUUUCUUGAAUGUCUUUGUGAAAUGCUAUGUUUUGCUUUUGUGCAAUUUAAUGUACAUGUUCAUGUUUUGUAUUUCGUAGUUUAUCCAUUGUAUUCGACAUGUGUGUAAACGCCGUCGAUACUAGUUUCUUUUGUGAGAGCUAGUUAGAGAACCGUAGAAGUCUACAAUUAGGUAUGGGAGUUGAGAAUUCCAAUUGGAGUUGUAGGUGGGUUUGAAAUAAGUGGGGGAGAAGAUAAUAUUCCUCUGAGAUGUUUGAGUGUAGGAAAAUAAGAUAGAUAGAGAUGUCCGAAGGAGAGUGUUCAGGCGUUAGUGAUGUCCGUUUCAGAGUUGGAUGAACUAGAAGGGCAGCUGGAGGACCGUUGAAGAAGUUGGUCAGAUCGAUUGUUUUGUUGUGGAGAGCGUCAUUAUUGUUGAGUAAGAAGAAUGAUGACAAUAUGGAGUGGUGUGUUGAUUCUCGGCGAUUGGAUGAGAAUAGCAUUAGACAAGUUUAUAGAUUAGUUGAUCAGUGCUUCUAAGUUAAGUAUGAGAGAUUGGAGAUCAAGUUAUCAUAAGAUAAAAGUGGAUGUCGUGGUGCAAUAGAAAAUCCUAAGUCGGUUAUUGAGAUUAGAAUUUUUCGGGAAUUAGCUAGUUACCGUCGGAGGUAUUGAAAGUUUACUAAAAUAAGUUGAAUGGUGUCCUUCUACAAAUGAUCAGGUGGUGGCUUAUGCGUCGAGGGAGUAGGGGAUUCAUGGAAGAAGUUAUCCGAUUCAUGAUUUGGAAUUGCGGUUGUUGUGUGUGUGCUCAAGAUUUUUUUUUUUUAAAAAAAAAAACAUUUUGGAAGGUAAGAUGAGGUUAAGUAUAAGUGUCAUUAACGGAAGAAUGUAAUAAGAAAGUUAAUCGUUGGAAGGACGUGUUAAAAACGAGUAAGGGAGGUGUACAUAGAAAAUGUGGCAUAUGUAAAGUUGCAUAUUCGUGAAAAGGAUUAUCUCACACGUGGUAUGAAAUAGUGGGUGUGCGUAUAUCUAAAGGAUGGAAAACGUUACUUGGAAUGAAUACCAGAGAGUACUUUGGAGUAUUAGGAGAUAAGAGCGAGUUAAGUAAAUGUUUAUCGGAAAAGGUUGAGUAUGAAAAAGUCGGUGCACAUUAGUAAGAUUGAAUUCAUUGUACUUGUUGUAAUGAAGAAAUGAUUAGCAUAAGUGUAGUAUGUGAUGAGAAAAUAAAAGAUUUCGGAUAUUGUAAUCGUGGACAGUCUAACAAUAUAGAGGCAAUGAAUAACUUAAGACUAUGGUUUGAAUAAGAAUUGAAUAUGGACAUAUUCAGAUUAAAAGGAACUAAGAGAUUAAAAGGAAAAAAAAAGGAACUUGUGGAAACUUGUGAAGUUAUCAACAGGGAUGAGAUCUUUUCGAAGUGAAAUGAAUGAGUGGUACUUGUUGUAGAAUGUUACUUUUCGGAUAUUUCGUGCUUAGGAAAAUACUAUUGUAGUUUGGUAAAGUUGGUUUAUGCAAUCAUUAUGAUUAUUGGCUAUUUAUUGGCAAAUUGAGGAACUGGCCGUCCUUAAUCUCUUGUUGAUAGUAGACGGAAUCAUGUUGAUUGGAAUAAACUAGUUUUGUCAAACUUUGUAGUGUGUGGAGUUUUUGGUGUUUAUGUUCUGAGAAUCGGAUGAAGGAGUAGUAUGUGGAUUUGUUUCACUUAGAUAAUUUUCGAGGGCGAAAAUUCUUUUAAGUGAGGGAGAGUUGUAACAUCCCAUUUCGAUUAUUAGUAUUUAUUUAAUUAUUCGAUUAUUGAUAUUU